rnacentral:tRNA from 1 species
AGAUUUUGAGUUGGUAACAAUUUAUAAUUUGCAAUUAUAAGAAAUAUUUAUAUAAAAUCUU